AUUGAACGCUGGCGGCAUGCUUUACACAUGCAAGUCGAACGGCAGCGCGGGCUUCGGCCUGGCUGCGAGUGGCGAACGGGUGAGUAAUGCAUCGGAACGUGCCCAGUAGUGGGGGAUAGCCCGGCGAAAGCCGGAUUAAUACCGCAUACGACCUGAUGGUGAAAGCUGGGGACCGAAAGGCCUCGCGCUAUUGGAGCGGCCGAUGUCGGAUUAGCUAGUUGGUGGGGUAAAGGCUUACCAAGGCGACGAUCCGUAGCUGGUCUGAGAGGACGACCAGCCACACUGGGACUGAGACACGGCCCAGACUCCUACGGGAGGCAGCAGUGGGGAAUUUUGGACAAUGGGGGCAACCCUGAUCCAGCCAUGCCGCGUGCGGGAAGAAGGCCUUCGGGUUGUAAACCGCUUUUGUUCGGGAAGAAAUCCUCUGGGCUAAUACCCCGGGGGGAUGACGGUACCGGAAGAAUAAGCACCGGCUAACUACGUG
rnacentral:rRNA from 1 species